GUGGAAUCCCGACCCUUCCCGAGACUUUAGAAACUAUACCCCUUGUUUUCGACAACUCUCGAUCACAUGUUAUAUGUCAUACCUUAAUCAACUCGAAGAGUUUGAUGAUUUCACUAGUCACCCUUGAAGAAUCCAGUCGCCUGUUCUUAGCACUAAAUCGAAAUUCUCUACUACUGACCAACCUCAAACUGAUGGUCAAAACGAAAUUGCUAACCGAAGUCUUGGCAAUUUAUUACGGUCUCUAGUCCAGAAAAAUCUUGAGAAUUGGGACUUGAUCUCCCCAACUGUUCACAUCGCAUAUAACAAUUCUAUGAAUCGGUCUCUAGGUCUAAAUCCAUUUGAAGUUGUUCAUAAUUAUAAGUCUAGGCGACCGUUAGAUCUUAUUCCCAAUUUGUAUAUCAUCUUCAUGACUUGCAUAUUGAGAUCAAUAAACAACACGAUGCAAGUAAUGCAUUAUAUAAAUUUCAAGCUGAUUCGCAUAAACGAUAUUUUAAAUUUAAUAUUGGGGAUUAUGUCAUAUUGCAAGCUUGUAGUGCUGGUCUUUUAAAAAUUUUAAAGCAUAUUGGUUCAAAUGCAUAUGUCAUUGCCCUUUCAUCACAUUUUGGCUACUACUCUGCUUUAAAUAUUAAGGACUUCAUUACUUACAAACACCAUGUUACUUCCUUUGAUGAUCUGUUUCUACUUAACUUUAUGGACUCCCAACUUGACUAUGUCGAUAUUUCUACUUCAAUACCAUCUAUCACAGCACACAAAGAUAAAAUUGAUGUUAUUUUAGAUGAACGUGUUGUAUUGACCAAUGAUGGCAAGAUACGGUACUUUCUUGUUUGUUGGGUGGAUCGACAUGCUUCUUAUUCUCCUCAUUAUAUACAAUCAUGUGAAAAUCUUGAAGAUGAGGUGCAUGAGUAUUGGUUAUUUGGAGUCCAGUAUCAGUACUUGGUUAGAAGGAAAGAUUGCCCCCCUGGUCAAAUCAUAUUCUUGGGAAUAAGCUACAGUUUUCAGUACUAUCAAUCAUGGAAUUUCUUUACUUGGUUUGUCAGAAAGAUUGUCCCCCGUGGCUUGACUUGAAGCAUUUGGAGUAUCAGAUUGACUGCAGUCUAUACUAUCUAUCACUCGACAGGGUCGAGUUUUUUUCCCACCCCGGGAGAGUUGAUGAGGAUAUCGGACGACGUUUUCUUAUUUUAUUUAAGCUUUAUUUAUUUUCUUGGACUAUUAUUUAAAUUUGGACUUGUAUGGGCUCGGGCCCAAGCUUGUUAGGGUUGCUUUACUAUUUAAACCUAUUUUGCAUUGUAAUUUUCAGUUGAUGAUGAAUGAAUAAUUAUUUUGGUGGUUUAUGGUGCAUCCCUCCUUUUAUUCUGCCCUCUUCUGUUAAAUUCUUCUUCUUUCCCCCCUUAAUUCCCCAUUCUUCUCUUUAAUUCCCUCUCCCUAUAGAUCUGUUCUAUUUCUCAAUUAAUUGUGUCAUUGGUGCUGCAUCAGUUUCUAGUUGAAUACCUUCAGAAAAUACGAAUAAGGGUGUUGUUUACUUGGUUUAAUUCUCUCCAUUUGUUUUUUACUUCCCUAUUCUUUUCUUUUUUAAUAUAAAAAAUGAAAAAUGAAAAAUGAAAAAGAUUUACUGUAGAAGGCAAAAUUUAUCUGUGCCUCAGAUUACUGAUAAUCCAUUCAAUGGGUUGUUUACCCUGGGGCCUGGUUCUCUUUUAAUUUGGAAAUAUUUGACUAAUUCUAGUUAGUUUUCCCAGAACUUGGGUCGAGAACUGUCAAUAUUGUGAUUGGAAUAUCGAAAGUGUGCGCACGAAUUUUAGUUCUUUUUUCUUUUCCAUUUUUC
rnacentral:lncRNA from 1 species